UACGUAGGGGGCAAGCGUUGUCCGGAAUUAUUGGGCGUAAAGAGCGUGUAGGCGGCCAGAUAAGUCCGCUGUGAAAUCUCGAGGCUCAACUUCGAGCUGUCGGUGGAAACUAUCUGGCUAGAGUCCGGAAGAGGAGAAUGGAAUUCCUGGUGUAGCGGUGAAAUGCGCAGAUAUCAGGAGGAACACCGGUGGCGAAGGCGGGUCUCUGGGCCGAUACUGACGCUGAGGAGCGAAAGCAUGGGUAGCGAACAGG
rnacentral:rRNA from 1 species